GACGAACGCUGGCGGCGUGCUUAACACAUGCAAGUCGAACGGAAAGGCCCUGCUUUUGUGGGGUGCUCGAGUGGCGAACGGGUGAGUAACACGUGAGUAACCUGCCCUUGACUUUGGGAUAACUUCAGGAAACUCGGGCUCAUACCGGAUAGGAGCUCCUGCUGCAUGGUGGGGGUUGGAAAGUUUCGGCGGUUUGGGAUGGACUCGCGGCUUAUCAGCUUGUUGGGGGGGUAGUGGCUUACCAAGGCUUUGACGGGUAGCCGGCCUGAGCGGGUGACCGGCCACAUUGGGACUAAGAUACGGCCCAGAAUCCAACGGGAGGCAGCAGUGGAGAAUAUUGCACAAUGGGCGGAAGCCUGAUGCAGCAACGCCGCGUGCGGGAUAACCGCCUUCGGGUUGUAAACCGCUUUCGCCGGUGACGAAGCGUGAGUGACGGUAAUUGGUAAGGAAGCACCGGCUAACUACGUG
rnacentral:rRNA from 1 species